CCGGGCACGGUGAUCAGCACGCCGCGUGGGUGAUGAAGGCCUUCGGGUUGUAAACUCCUGUUAGCGGUGAAGAAAAAUCCCGAUCGAAUCGGGAACUGACUGUACCCUCCAAAGAAGCCCCGGCUAACUACGUGCCAGCAGCCGCGGUAAUACGUAAGGGGCAAGCGUUGUCCGGAUUCACUGGGUGUAAAGGGCGCGUAGGCGGGUUAGCAAGUCAAAGGUGAAAUCUCCCGGCUCAACCGGGAAACUGCCUUUGAAACUGUUAAUCUUGAGUGCGGAAGAGAGAGACGGAAUUCCAGGUGUAGCGGUGAAAUGCGUAGAUAUCUGGAGGAACACCGGUUGCGAAGGCGGUCUCUUGGUCCGUAACUGACGCUCAGGCGCGAAAGCGUGGGUAGCAAACAGGAUUAGAUACCCUGGUAGUCCACGCUGUAAACGAUGAAUACUAGGUGUUGGGUCGAAAGGCUCAGUGCCGCAGCUAACGCAUUAAGUAUUCCACCUGGGGAGUACGAUCGCAAGGUUGAAACUCAAAUGAAUUGAC
rnacentral:rRNA from 1 species